UCGUGUUUACACGCGUUGGUAUCGCGCACGUCGAUUUUCAAUAUAAUUUUAAAUCGUGCAUAAUUUUUGCUUCUAAAAUACACACGUUUUAUUUAUGAGUGUCUAAAAUAUAUAUAUUCGCGUGUGUUUAAAGUGCAUGUAUUUUUUUUGCGAGUAUUUAUAGUAUAUAUGUAAUUAUUUACGACUGUGACGAUAUUGCGCAUUUUAUUCGCCGUGCGAAGAUACAUUUCGUUGUCGUGGACAGAAAAAGGCUAUUGAAUUAUCGGUGUGACAGUGUUAUCUAUAAAUGUUAAGGAUAUUUCUUCACAAACUCCAAAAGCAGAAUAUUACUUUACAAGACCUUCGUAAGAUGUUCGUAGUCAUCGUGGAAUAUUGCGUCCUUUUGCUUCGUAACAACGUUUUUGUUUUCAUCUAAUGAUGUUGCCGUCCCUGGCGAAGCACGUCAACUCGGCGGCGAGAGGCACACGGCAGUGGCAGCAACGAAGACAGCCGCAGUGCCACGCGCGGUCCGCAGCCCUCAGGUAC